rnacentral:lncRNA from 1 species
AGGCAAGGCAAAGGCGGCGGAGUGAACCUCGGAGGAGUAGUACCUUAGGUCUAUAGAAUCGAUUUCGGACUUUCCAAGCUUGGGAGUAGCGAAGUCCUGGUUUUUGUUCAGGGAGCCCAUGACGAAGCCAAUGUGGCCGCAGGGAUAGGACGGAACGGAGGUGACGGCAUAGGCCACCUUAGCAAAGUGCUCCUUGCAGCCGGACAUGGUCUUCUUGAUGUAGUCCAGGUCCAGCCAGAAGCUACCGCCCUGGGAGCACACGAUUCCGUCAUCCUUCAGCGCGUGUUUCAUUAGCUCGUAGUAGCUUUCCUGAAACAGGCUCACUGCCGGACCAAUGGGAUCCGAGCUGUCGGUGAUGAUGACAUCAAAUUCGUUCUUGUGUUUCUUCAUAUAGUCGAAUCCAUCGCCAAUGGUAAGCUUCAACUUCUCGUUGGCGAAACCACAGGCCAUCGCUGGGAGAUAUUGCUUGGACAGCUCGACGACACGGUCGUCGAUUUCCACCUGAUGCACUUCCUCGACCAGUGGAUGCUUUACCACCUCGCGAGCAACGCCGCCAUCGCCACCGCCCACGAUCAGGACCUUUUUGGGAUUGGGAUGGGCGCAGAGCGGCAGGAAAGAUAUCAUCUCCUGCGGCGCAAGUGUACCCAAUGUUCGACUGGAGGAACUCAAACCUGAAAGACGAGCUGACUUGCUAUCAGUAUUCUGUCUGUCGUUUUUGGCCCUAGAUGACUCCAUCGAUAAGGCUGUUGGUGCAGAUCAAGAAUAAACACACGAAAACCAAAGGGUCCGAAAAUGCUGGCUGGGCAAUUUGUGUUUGAACAACCAGUGGAAAAUUUUCGAUUUCUACAAUCUAUGAUUUAGGGACCUUCAAUGUAGGAUACAUAUGGGAUUAGGCUAUUGUAGGUUAGUCCUUAAAAUCUCAACAGCUUAAGCUGUU